rnacentral:rRNA from 1 species
CCUACGGGUGGCAGCAGUAGGGAAUAUUGCUCAAUGGGGGAAACCCUGACGCAGCAACGCCGCGUGGAGGAUGAAGGUUUUAGGAUUGUAAACUUCUUUCGUUAGAGAAGAUUAUGACGGUAUCUAACGAAUAAGCACCGGCUAACUCCGUGACAGCAGCCGCGGUAAAACGUAGGGUGCAAGAGUUAUUUGGAAGUACUGGGUGUAAAGAGCGCGUAGGCGGGGUAAUAAGUCAGAUGUGAAAUCCUUUGGCUUAACCACAGUACUGCGUAUGAAAAUGUUGCUCUUGAGUGUGGGAGAGGUAGGUGGAAUUCUUGGUGUAGGGGUAAAAUCCGUAGAGAUCGAGAGGAAUACUCAUUGCGAAGGCGACCUGCUGGAACAUUACUGACGCUGAUGCACGAAAGCGUGGGGAGCAAACAGGAUUAGAUACCCGUGUAGUC